GCCUACGGGGGGCAGCAGUAGGGAAUUUUCGUCAAUGGGCGCAAGCCUGAACGAGCAAUGCCGCGUGAACGAGGAAGGUCUUCGGAUCGUAAAGUUCUGUUGAAGGGGAAAAAGAGCGGAGAGAGGAAAUGGUCUCCGAUUGAUAUUACCCUUCGAGGAAGUCACGGCUAACUACGUGCCAGCAGCCGCGGUAAUACGUAGGUGGCGAGCGUUAUCCGGAAUGAUUGGGCGUAAAGGGUGCGUAGGCGGCCUGCCAAGUCUGGAGUGAAAGGUACCGGCCCAACCGGUACAGGCUCUGGAAACUG
rnacentral:rRNA from 1 species